UACGUACUGCAGUGUACUGGAGUUGUCGAGGGUGGAGCGUAUAGGCAUGCCAUCCUGGUUGACGAUGAUGAGGCCCGUCACGCCCUUUUGCUGCUGGAUGCGGUCCAGGAUUUGCUCCACGUGGGGUCUGGAUAGCGGGUUUGUUGCCAGAUGGUUGUCUUUGUCCUCUUACCUAUAGUCCUCAGAGACUACUGGAAUAACAGCCAUGGCGAUGCAGAUGUUUGGUCUGAGCUGGAAGUCAGCGAAUCUAUGCGUGGCUCCGUAGCUGUCCUUGUAGAUACCACGCCUAUGGACAAGUUUAAUCUCUUCGCCCUCGAGUUCUGGGUUGGGCUCCUCUGGGAUCCAGAAGUACCUCUCGAAGGUGGAGUUGAGCUUCUCACUCCAUUCCCGGUAUGACCAGGAGAUGGGGAAACCUGAAGGCAUAGGAAUCACACGUGACAUCGACAAAUACCACCCCCAUGUGCGCAUGGGAAACAUGUGUACGCAUGUGUCACAACAUACUUAUCGUGUCACACAACACAUGCCUUGCAAACCAUACUCAUUAUGUCACACAACACAUGCCUUGCAAACCAUACUCAUUGUGUCACACAACACAUGCCUUGCAAACCAUACUCAUUGUGUCACACAACACAUGCCUCACAAACCGUACUCAUUGUGUCACACAACACAUGCCUUGCAAACCAUACUCAUUAUGUCACACAACACAUGCCUCACAAAUCAUACUCAUUGUGUCACACAACACAUGCCUCACAAACCGAACUUAUUGUGUCACACAACACAUGCCUUGCAAAACAUACUUAUUGUAACACAACACAUGCCCUACAAACCAUACUCAUUAUGUCACACAACACACAAAUCAUACUCAUUAUGUCACACAACACAUGCCCUACAAACCAUACUCAUUAUGUCACACAACACACAAAUCAUACUCAUUAUGUCACACAACACACAAACCAUACUCAUUAUGUCACACAACACAUGUCCUGCAAACCAUACUCAUUAUGUCACACAACACAUGUCCUGCAAACCAUACACAUUAUGUCACACAACACAUGCCCUGCAAACCAUACUCAUUGUGUCACACAACACAUGCCUCACAAACCAUACUCAUUGAGUCACACAACACAUGCCUUGCAAACCGUACUCAUUAUGUCACACAACACAUGUCCUGCAAACCAUAGACAUUAUGUCACACAACACAUGCCUUGCAAACCGUACUCAUUGUGUCACACAACACAUGCCUCACAAACCAUAAUCAUUGAGUCACACAACACAUGCCCCACAAACCAUACUCACUGAGUCACACAACACAUGCCCUGCAAACCAUACACAUUAUGUCACACAACACAUGCCUCACAAACCAUACUCGUUGUGUCACACAACACAUGCCUUGCAAACCGUACUCGUUGUGUCACACAACACAUGCCUCACAAACCAUACUCAUUGAGUCACACAACACAUGCCCUGCAAACCAUACUCAUUGAGUCACACAACACACAUGUCUUGCAAACCGUACUCAUUGUGUCACACAACACACAUGUCUUGCAAACCAUACUUAUUGCCACACAAGCCACACAAGAAACGCCUCACAUGUAGAAAGAAUGGUUUCAUUCCACUAUUGACUGGAUUUAUAUUAUGUGAUGUAAAACCUUGUUGGCCAGUACCAUCCUGCAGCUUGGAGACACCAGCGUACGGAAACUGCUUCUUGUCACAAAGGUCAGCUAGCCAUUUAACAGUGGACUUUAACAGACCGACAAUCUCCACUGCACUUCCAUCCCUGACAAAAUCACAC